CAGCGAAGUUUCUCAUAUUUAGUGCAGACUUACAGCCAAUGCACUGUAUUUCAUUUCAGUCGGUUGAUGCAAGCCGUGGCUUGAGCCCGAAAAAGGAUAUAAUGUGCAGAACGGAGAGCUAUCACGAUAUGGAAUUGUGUAUGAGUCUUUAUGAAAACUUGGAUGAUAUAAAAUAGUAGUUGUUGGGAUGGCGACCACUGCUAGGAAACGGCCUGCACAGUGAGCUACAUCCAAUGUCAGUUGGCAUGGCAAAGUGAGUUAUAUAAAUCCACACGAGUCUUGGAAUUCUUUCAGUUCGUGACAUCGACAAGGAAUAACUGUGUUGCGAUGAUUUACCAGCAGCAUUACAAGGAGCUCGGCUGUGUUCGUAUUACAUAUACUGAUGGAAAUUCAACGGAUGUGAAACGAAAAAAAUAAAUAAAUAAAAAUCCAGUAUAUCGAGAUUGCGAUGAUGUCAUCGCUCGUUUCUCAACGUACGGUGAUUGGAUAGCCACAUUCCUGCGUGCUAGCUCGGAAUCAAUACAAUGAAACAUUACCCACUCACAUUUAUCACAGGGUGUGGACCUAGUAAUAGUAAACCUUUGCUCAUUGUGCGAUGAA